rnacentral:rRNA from 1 species
UGGAUGAGCCCGCGGCCUAUCAGCUUGUUGGUGGGGUAAUGGCCUACCAAGGCGACGACGGAUAGCCGACCUGAGAGGGUGAUCGGCCACACUGGGACUGAGACACGGCCCAGACUCCUACGGGAGGCAGCAGUGGGGAAUAUUGCACAAUGGGCGCAAGCCUGAUGCAGCGACGCCGCGUGAGGGAUGACGGCCUUCGGGUUGUAAACCUCUUUCACCAGGGACGAAGCGCAAGUGACGGUACCUGGAGAAGAAGCACCGGCCAACUACGUGCCAGCAGCCGCGGUAAU